AGARUACGGUWGRAGGGGGAKGGAAUUCCGKGUGUAGCAGKKRAAAWUGCGUAGAUAUUGCGGAGGAACACCGRWUGGCGAAGGGCAAUCCCCUGGACCUGUAACUGACGCUCAUGCACGAAAGCGUGGGGAGCAAACAGGAUUUAGAUACCYKGGUAGUCCACGCCCUAAACGAUGUCAACUGGUUGUUGGGAGGGUUUCUUCUCAGUAACGUAGCUAACGCGUGAAGUUGACCGCCUGGGGAGUACGGCCGCAAGGUUGAAACUCAAAGGAAUUGACGGGGACCCGCACAAGCGGUGGAUGAUGUGGUUUAAUUCGAUGCAACGCGAAAAACCUUACCUACCCUUGACAUGCCAGGAAUCCUGAAGAGAUUUGGGAGUGCUCGAAAGAGAGCCUGGACACAGGUGCUGCAUGGCCGUCGUCAGCUCGUGUCGUGAGAUGUUGGGUUAAGUCCCGCAACGAGCGCAACCCUUGUCAUUAGUUGCUACGAAAGGGCACUCUAAUGAGACUGCCGGUGACAAACCGGAGGAAGGUGGGGAUGACGUCAGGUCAUCAUGGCCCUUAUGGGUAGGGCUACACACGUCAUACAAUGGCCGGGACAGAGGGCUGCCAACCCGCGAGGGGGAGCUAAUCCCAGAAACCCGGUCGUAGUCCGGAUCGUAGUCUGCAACUCGACUGCGUGAAGUCGGAAUCGCUAGUAAUCGCGGAUCAGCUUGCCGCGGUGAAUACGUUCCCGGGUCUUGUACACACCGCCCGUCACACCAUGGGAGUGGGCUUUACCAGAAGUAGUUAGCCUAACCGCAAGGAGGGCGAUUACCACGGUAGGGUUCAUGACUGGGGUGAAGUCGUAACAAGGUAGCC
rnacentral:rRNA from 1 species